rfam:Schistosoma curassoni strain Dakar, Senegal genome assembly, scaffold: SCTD_contig0013063
AUUUAGCUGAUAAGUCUUAAAUAGAACGAAACGCGCGUCCCAGAU